GACGAACGCUGGCGGCGUGCCUAAUACAUGCAAGUCGAGCGAAGUUUUUCUGGUGCUUGCACUAGAAAAACUUAGCGGCGAACGGGUGAGUAACACGUAAAGAACCUGCCUCAUAGACUGGGACAACUAUUGGAAACGAUAGCUAAUACCGGAUAACAGUAUUUCUCGCAUGAGAGAUAUUUAAAAGUUGGUUAUGCUAACACUAUGAGAUGGCUUUGCGGUGCAUUAGCUAGUUGGUGGGGUAAAGGCCCACCAAGGCGACGAUGCAUAGCCGACCUGAGAGGGUGAUCGGCCACACUGGGACUGAGACACGGCCCAGACUCCUACGGGAGGCAGCAGUAGGGAAUCUUCCGCAAUGGGCGAAAGCCUGACGGAGCAACGCCGCGUGAGUGAAGAAGGAUUUCGGUUCGUAAAGCUCUGUUGUUAGGGAAGAAUGGAUAUGUAGUAACUAUACAUGUAAGAGACGGACCUAGCCAGAAAGCC
rnacentral:rRNA from 1 species